rnacentral:misc_RNA from 1 species
AAGUCGUAACAAGGUCUCCGUUGGUGAACCACGCGGAGGGAUGCAUUGCAUGGAAGGCAGGCCGCAAGGCAGUGCACCCCAGAAACCCUUUGUGAACUUAUACCUACAUCGUUGCCUCGGCGUUGGCUGCCUCUCCCCCUCGGGGAGGGGGCCCUGCUCCUCUGGUCGUCAAACACCUGGGAGAAGGACAGCAGGCCCGCCGGUGGCCCAUUAAACUCUUGUAUUUACCGAGUAACAUCUGAGUAAAGCUUCUAAAUGAAUCAAAA